rnacentral:rRNA from 1 species
UGGGCGCAGCCUGAUGCAGCCAUGCCGCGUGUGUGAAGAAGGCCUUCGGGUUGUAAAGCACUUUCAGUCGUGAGGAAGGUGGUGUAGUUAAUAGCUGCAUUAUUUGACGUUAGCGACAGAAGAAGCACCGGCUAACUCCGUGCCAGCAGCCGCGGUAAUACGGAGGGUGCGAGCGUUAAUCGGAAUUACUGGGCGUAAAGCGCAUGCAGGUGGUUAGUUAAGUCAGAUGUGAAAGCCCGGGGCUCAACCUCGGAACUGCAUUUGAAACUGGCUGACUAGAGUACUGUAGAGGGGGGUAGAAUUUCAGGUGUAGCGGUGAAAUGCGUAGAGAUCUGAAGGAAUACCGGUGGCGAAGGCGGCCCCCUGGACAGAUACUGACACUCAGAUGCGAAAGCGUGGGGAGCAAACAGGAUUAGAUACCCUGGUAGUCCACGCCGUAAACGAUGUCUACUUGGAGGUUGUGGCCUUGAGCCGUGGCUUUCGGAGCUAACGCGUUAAGUAGACCGCCUGGGGAGUACGGUCGCAAGAUUAAAACUCAAAUGAAUUGACGGGGGCCCGCACAAGCGGUGGAGCAUGUGGUUUAAUUCGAUGCAACGCGAAGAACCUUACCUACUCUUGACAUCCAGAGAACUUAUCAGAGAUGCUUUGGUGCCUUCGGGAACUCUGAGACAGGUGCUGCAUGGCUGUCGUCAGCUCGUGUUGUGAAAUGUUGGGUUAAGUCCCGCAACGAGCGCAACCCUUAUCCUUGUUUGCCAGCGAGUAAUGUCGGGAACUCCAGGGAGACUGCCGGUGAUAAACCGGAGGAAGGUGGGGACGACGUCUAGUCAUCUUGGCCCUUA